rnacentral:rRNA from 1 species
UGAAUACGAGAUGCUACGGCGUCGAAGCAGUCUAUGUCAUACUUCCAAGAAAGGCUCGCACUGUCAUAAACAAAUAAUGCCUGUACCAUAACCGACACAGGUGGGUAGGUAGAGUAUACUAAGGGGCGCGAGAUAACUCUCUCUAAGGAACUCGGCAAAAUGACUCCGUAACUUCGGGAGAAGGAGUGCCUUAUUUAUAAGGUUGCAAUAACAAGAUCCAAGCAACUGUUUAUCAAAAACACAGGUCUCCGCUAAGUCGUAAGACGAUGUAUGGGGGCUGACGCCUGCCCAGUGCCAGAAGGUUAAAGAAGUUGGUUAGCAUUCGCGAAGCUGAUAACUGAAGCCCUGGUGAACGGCGGCCGUAACUAUAACGGUCCUAAGGUAGCGAAAUUCCUUGUCGGGUAAGUUCCGACCCGCACGAAAGGCGUAAUGAUUUGGAUACUGUCUCGGAGAGGGGCUCGGUGAAAUAGACUUGUCUGUGAAGAUGCGGACUACCUGCACCAGGACAGAAAGACCCUAUGAAGCUUUACUGUAACUUGAGAUUGAAAUUGGACUUUACUUGCGCAGUAUAGGUGGGAGGCGUUGAUAAUAUUCUUGCGGGAUUAUUUGAGCCAUCAGUGAGAUACCACUCUUGUAAUGUUAGAUUUCUAACUUUGUAUCAUUAUCUGGUCAAAGGACAGUUUCAGGCGGGCAGUUUGACUGGGGCGGUCGCCUCCUAAACGGUAACGGAGGCGCACAAAGGUUUCCUCUGAACGGGUAGAACUCGUAUCUAGAGUGUAAAGGCAUAAGGAAGCUUGACUGUGAGACCUACAAGUCGAGCAGGGACGAAAGUCGGUCUUAGUGAUCUGACGGUGCUGAGUGGAAAGGCCGUCACUCAACGGAUAAAAGUUACUCUAAGGAUAACAGGCUGAUCUCCCCCAAGAGUUCACAUCGACGGGGAGGUUUGGCACCUCGAUGUCGGCUCAUCGCAUCCUGGGGCGGUAGUACGUCCCAAGGGUUGGGCUGUUCGCCCAUGAAAGCGGUACGCGAGCUGGGUUCAGAACGUCGUGAGACAGUUCGGUCCAUAUCCGGUGUAGGCGUUAGAAUAUUGAGAGGAGCCUUCUUUAGUACGAGAGGACCGAGAAGGACAUACCUCUGGUGUACCAGUUAUCGUGCCAACGGUAAACGCUGGGUAGCUAUGUAUGGAGUGGAUAACCGCUGAAAGCAUCUAAGUGGGAAGCCCACCUCAAGGUAAGUAUUCUCAGAC